rfam:Triticum aestivum genome assembly, contig: Triticum_aestivum_CS42_TGACv1_scaffold_130056_2BL
CAAUUACUCCCUCCGUCCCAAAAUUCUUGCCUUAAAUUUGUCUAAAUACGGAUGUAUCAAGUCACGUUUUAGUAUUAAGUACAUCCAUAUCUAAACAAAUCUAAGACAAAAAAUUUGGGACAAAGGGAGUACAUC